rnacentral:rRNA from 1 species
UUGGAUUAAUAACUAUAAAGAGUUAUAGUCUCGUUAUUUAAAAUUUCAAGCAUGGGAAUUAGAAUUAAAGAGUCGGGUAGCUUGAGAAUGCUGCCUUAAUAUAGGUGGUACACCCCAUCUAAAGCUAAAUAUUGUAAAGAGACCGAUAGCAUACAAGUAGUGUGAACGAAAGAUGAAAAGAACUCCUAAACGGAGAAUUAAAAGCGCCUGAACUUGUCUAGGUUUUCGCAUUUCUUUAAUGCGCCCGUCUUGAAACACGGAUUAGGGAGUUUUACUUAAAUACGAGUCUUUAACUUUUAAAGUAAUUUUUUUAAAAAAGGCGAAAAGAAAUUAACUGGUUUUUUUAACAUGGCUAUAGAGUAUUUAAGUCAAAACCCGAAUGGAGGUGAACUAUUCCUGCAAAGAUUGAAGUCAGGGGAAACUCUGAUGGAAGAUCGUUGGCGUUAUUGAUGUGCAAAUCAUUUGCUUUAUGUAGGUAUAGGUGCGAAAGACUCAUCGAACCUCCUAAUAGCUGGUUUCCUCCGAAGUUUCCCUCAGGAUAGCUGUAACAUUUUUAAAUAGUUAAGGAUAGUAGAGAAAUGGGUAGAGGUGUAGUGGAACUACGGUUCUGCAACUUAUUUCCAAACUUCGAACGUUCUUGAUAUAAAAAAUUACCUAAUAGGAAUUUUUUAUUUAAAUAUAUGUUAUAAGUGGGCUCUGACCGGUAAGCGGUCAUGGCGAAAAGGGAUGAACCUAACGUAUAAAUAAGGUGCCUAAAUUUACUAACAAUGAAACCAUUAAAAGAGUCCAUGUAUUUAGACAGCGGGUCGGUGCCCCUAAAAGCAGGUAUCCGUUAAUGAGUGUGUUAAAACUCCCCCGCCGAAUACUCUGGCCUUGAAAAUGAAUGGCGCAUAUAGUAAUACCGAUAUUAUACAUUAAAAUUAUUUAAAAAUUUUAAAAGUAGGGGGAUGUGGAUAUCUUAGAGAAUUUUUAAUUGUAAAAUUGAAUUGAAAGAUAUCUAUUACAGAUCCUAAUUGAAGUAGCGAUUAUCCAGGUUAAUCUCCUGGGGGCUGAUGAGGAGUAGGGUUUCUGGGCAACUUAAACGGACCCAGAGUUAGUCGAUCCUAAUCAAAUUAAAUUUAGAGAAAGGGAAUAUGAAUGAUAUUUCAUAACUAAAAUUAAUUUUUAAAUGGUGACAUUUUUUUAAACUUAUUUCCAUCAAUUAAAUACUGUUUAAUAGGGAUUUCUUUCCUAUAUAACUUUUUAAUUAAAACUUAAGAAACAGGUUAACUGGAGAAUAAAGUUUUAAUUUAGUAAAAUUAUAAUUUCGAUUAUAAUAACGGCUAUUUAAAUGAUCCAUGAAACAAUAAGUUUAUUUUUUCAAAAAUUAAUUUAAUCGUACCGAUAACCGCAUCAGGUCUCCAAGGUGAGUAGCUUCUGGCCAUUGAGUAAUGGUAAUUUAGGGAAUUCGGCCAAUUAGAGCUGUAACUUCGGGAUAAAGCUUGGCUCUGAUGGAAAUCAGAACCGAUAGUUACAAGGAGAGCCCAACUGUUUAAUAAAAACUUAGUGUCGCGUCAUACCUUUAUAAGUAAUAAACGUGACAUGAAUCCUGCUCAGUGCUGUGUUUGUUAAACUGGAUUAAUCCAUUUAAGCGCCGGUAAAUAGCUGGGGUAACUAUGACUCUUAUCAAAGUAGCGAAAUACCUCGUCACUUAAUUAGUGACCUGCAUGAACGGAGCUAUGAGGUUCUCACUGUCCCAAAUUAUCACUCAGCGAACCAACAGUUGUGGGAACGGGCACAAAUUAUCCAGCGGGGAAAGAAGACCCUGUAGAGCUUCACUUUGGUCUAAUCUUGUAUAGUUUCGUUAGGGGUGCAGUCUAGGUGGGAGAUUUUUAAUCAAAUAUGAGAAACCACUACCCUUUCUGGAAUUAUACUUACUAAAAUUCUUUUAUAAAUUUUAGGAUCGGAUUAGAUAGAAAGUUUGGCUGGGGCGGCACACCUUCGAAAAAGCAGCGAAGGUGUCCUAAGUUAAGCUCAGUAAGGACAGAAAUCUUACGUUGAGGAUAAGGCCAAAAGCUUAAUUUACUGUGCCUUUUUGUACUAGGAUCAGUUUGGAAACAAAGGCCUAACGAUCCCUAAUUAGUCUUAGGUGUGUAAGACUUGGGGUGACAGACAAGUUACCUCCGGGACAACUGGCUUGUGGCUGCUAAGAGAUCAAAUCAACGCAGCUUUUUGAUUCUUCGAUGUCGGC